rnacentral:RNase_P_RNA from 1 species
AGUGAGCCGGAUGGUCGCGUACCGUUCGCGGUGCGAGGAAAGUCCGGGCUCCAAAGGGCAAGAUGCCAGCUAACAGCUGGGCGGGGCGACCCGACGGAUCAGUGCCACAGAAAAGAAAACUCCCCUGUCGAAACGAGAGCGCAAGCCCUCGCCGCAGCAGGAGAAAAGCUGAAACGGUGCGGUAAGAGCGCACCAGUGCGUCGGCAACGGCGCAGCUUGGUAAACCCCAUCUGGAGCAAGCGCAAAUAGGAACGCGAUACGGCCGCCCUUCCGUGCGUUCGGGUUGCGUGCUAGAGAUGCGCGGCGACGCGCAUUCGAGAUAAAUGGCCGUCCUUCGACAGAACCCGGCUUACAGGCUCACUCGC